GGGGAUUUGUAUUAUCUAAAUUAGUAUGUAGAAAAAAAACAAACCAUUUGAAAAUUUUAAAAAAGAUUGACAUAUUUCGCACGUGGUUACAGCCACUGUUGUAGAUGGGAAGCUGGAAAUGUAAGAUACAGACGGGAAAAUAAUGUAUAUCUGUAAGCAACGGUAAAUCAUUGCUAACGAAAAACGAUUCUGAGCGGAGUUCAGUUGAUAGUAUUGCUUUGUCAACAAUAUAUAUGUUAU